CUUUCUCUUUUUUCUCUUCUGCUCGAGAGAGAGACUGCAGCUAUCUUUUCUUCUUCACUUCCAUCACCACAACAGACCACACAACCACCAUCCACUACUUCCAUCAGCACAACAACACUUUCUUCAUCUUCUCCCUUGAUUUGGUUUGCAUACAGAAAAUCAACGAAACCCCAAGAACCCUAGAAUAAAAAUCUUUGUUUCUACUUCACAGAUUGCAAAUCACUAUUAGUAAUCAAAGCUUUAUCCUAAACCAUUUCAGCAUUUUCUUCUUUAAAUCAUCAUUCUCGUUGCGAUCUUGAGCAUCAAUUUCAUCAGAGUUCACAGUUGGGUUGUUCUUGCCCACAGUCAACCUGUUCAGCAGAUGCCUGUGAUCAUGUGUACCUCUUUGACAAUGACUAUGAAGCUGCUAAGGAUAUUAAUGGUCAACAAUGCAUGAUAUAUUUCCAUAUGAUGAAGAUGGUCGAAUUAUUUUAAAGGACAUAUACCCAGUCUAUGAGUGCAACUCAAUGUGCGGCUGCGACAAGAAUUGUCGGAAUAAGAUUUUGCAAAAUGGGGUGAAGGUCAAAUUAGAGAUUUUUGAAACGGAAAAAAAGGGUUUGUCAGUCAGAGUUGGUGAAGCAAUUUCACGUGGAACAUUUGUGUGUGAGUACAUUGGGGAAGUUCUAAAUGAUCAGGAGGCAACCAAGAGGUAUGACAAGGAAGGUUGCAGCUAUCUGUAUCACAUUAACUCUCACAUCGACGUCAUGAGUGAAUUAGUUGAAGGAGGAACUGUGUCCCAUGUCAUUGAUACAACACGGUGCGGGAAUGGUUCUCGGUUCAUUAACCAUAAGUAAUCAGUAUUAUUUGGUGAAAGAAACUGCGGAAGUGUACUUUGUUGGUGUACCUCUCUCUCUCUUCAUGCAUACAUAAUUUCUUUUAAAGAUUUACUUACCCGAUACUUGUUGGUGUCAGUUUCUCGCCCAACCUUGUUACAUACCAAGUUCUGGUGGAUAAUAUGGAUAGCCAACUUGCACAUAUUGGAUUAUAUGCGAAUCAUAUCCUCAUUACCUACCUUGAAAGGAACUGUCUUCAAUGUUGGUCAUUGGCUUUGGCAUGUGCUUUACGUAACCUCUUCAAUGGAGCACAUAAAUUCUUUGGUCUUUUAUUGCUCUAGCUGAAGAUACAUGAAAAGCAACCUCUUCAAUGUCAACAGAAAUUAAUGUCAGAUACCCCUAGCCAAACCCCAAAAUUGAAAAGAUGCGAGAGGAUAUAAACCUUCAAGAAGCCAAAACAGGACGAGAAUAUUUUAGACGCUGAACUUUUUGAAAAUCCUAGCAAUAUCCCGGAGCUUAGGUUUUGGGCUUCCUAUCGCUGAUAAGCAUUUGCUAGGACUGACACGAGGCUCUGACAAUUGCUUUCGUUGAUGUUGUUGAAACUCUUAAGGAGGGUAGAGUUCAUAUAGACUACUCAAAGCUUGUUAAGGCUGAUUACAAUGGGAAAAACAAGGUGCUUGCUCCUUAUAGAACGGAGUACCAAGUUGAAAAAGAGAUAAAAUGGUACAACAUCAAUGCCAACUGCAAAAGCUUUGACUUAUUUCAAAGUGAAGCUAAGUAUCACUAUCCCCUACUGAUUUUGUAUUCGAUCUAUUUGAAUUAGGCACCGAGUUGAGCAUUUCUUAAAUCAACUUCUUAUUAUUACCUGGAAAGCUAGUCCUGGGUCAGAAGGUUGAAAACCUGAGUUUCUACGGUAGCAUUUUUUAUGUCUCAUUUAUCUUGUAGAAACCCACAUGCGAUGUAUAUAAUAUAGCAUUAUGAUGCAACAAUGCAUCAAUAUAUUGGUAUUACUUUGAUAACAGUGUUUUUUGAUUUAAAAUUGUGCUAGUGGUUUCUGAACUGGUUAUAUUUCAGUUGCACUCUAUGCUGCAAAAGUAGUUUAUAGAGUGCUCUAUACUUUCUUA